GUUCUUCCUUUUUAAAGUUUUGUUUCAUUUCAUAUUUUCAGAUCUUUCUCCAUGCUAAUGUGGAGUUGUUCGAUAUGAAAAGGAAAGCAUACUAAAUUUUAGAGGGAUGAAACUGUUCACAUAUAUUUAUUCCUACAGAUUGUCAAUCAAAAGUUGUGAUCUUCCUCUGGCAUGGAGUGCAAUAUAUCAAUGAAAGUUGAAUCAAAUGAGAAAAUCAAAAGGAAAAAGGCCAGAAAAAAACUCAAGCUCAGACUGGUAAAAGCAAGACUACGGGAAAAAGAUGAUAGUUUGACUCCUUAGUGUUAUCAUUUCAACUAUUAGAAAGCUACUGAGAUGUAGUUAUGAAUGAAAAAAGCCCUAAGUCACAUUGCCGUUAGAGGAAGCUACUAGAUUGAAAUAUCAAAACAUUGGAGCAUUUCUUGGUUCAUCUAUAUGUUGAGUUAGAAGAUAAUAAACUGUAAAUUUGUUUUGUCU